UACGGAGGAUGCGAGCGCUAUCCGGAUUUAUUGGGUUUAAAGGGUGCGUAGGCGGCCGAGUAAGUCAGCGGUGAAAUUUUGCAGCUUAACUGUAACAGUGCCGUUGAUACUGCAUGGCUAGGAUUUGUUGCUGUGGGUUGGAAUGUGUGGUGUAGCGGUGAAAUGCUUAGAUAUCACACAGAAUAUCGAUUGCGAAGGCAGCUCACAAAGCUAAGAUUGACGCUGAGGCACGAAAGUGUGGGUGGA
rnacentral:rRNA from 1 species